GAUGAACGCUAGCUACAGGCUUAACACAUGCAAGUCGAGGGGCAGCAUGACCUAGCAAUAGGUUGAUGGCGACCGGCGCACGGGUGAGUAACACGUAUCCAACCUGCCGAUUAUUCCGGGAUAGCCUUUCGAAAGAAAGAUUAAUACUGGAUAGCAUAACGAGAAGGCAUCUUCUUGUUAUUAAAGAAUUUCGAUAAUCGAUGGGGAUGCGUUCCAUUAGUUUGUUGGCGGGGUAACGGCCCACCAAGACAUCGAUGGAUAGGGGUUCUGAGAGGAAGGUCCCCCACAUUGGAACUGAGACACGGUCCAAACUCCUACGGGAGGCAGCAGUGAGGAAUAUUGGUCAAUGGACGAGAGUCUGAACCAGCCAAGUAGCGUGAAGGAUGACUGCCCUAUGGGUUGUAAACUUCUUUUAUAUGGGAAUAAAGUGGGCCACGUGUGGCUUUUUGUAUGUACCAUACGAAUAAGGAUCGGCGAACUCCGU
rnacentral:rRNA from 1 species